GACGAACGCUGGCGGCGUGCUUAACACAUGCAAGUCGAACGGCAAGGCCCUGCUUUUGUGGGGUGCUCGAGUGGCGAACGCGUGAGUAACACGUGAGUAUCCUGCCCUUGACUUUGGGAUAUCUUCAGGAAACUGGGGCUAAUACCGGAUAGGAGCUCCUGCUGCAUGGUGGGGGUUGGUAAGUUUCGGCGGUUGGGGAUGGACUCGCGGCUUUUCAGCUUGUUGGUGGGGUAGUGGCUUACCAAGGCUUUGACGGGUAGCCGGCCUGUGAGGGUGACCGGCCACAUUGGGACUGAGAUACGGCCCAGACGCCAACGGGAGGAAGCAGUGGGGAAUAUAGCACAAUGGGGGGAAGCCUGAUGAAGCAACGCCGCGUGCGGGAUGACGGCCUUCGGGGUGUAAACCGAAUUCGCCUGAGACGAAGCGUGAGUGACGGUAAUGGGUAAAGAAGCACCGGCUAACUACGUG
rnacentral:rRNA from 1 species